UACCAGCACCCCGAGUGGUCGGGACGAUUAUUGGGCCUAAAGCAUCCGUAGCCGGUUCUGCAAGUCCCCCGUUAAAUCCAGCUGCUCAACAGAUGGGCCGCGGAGGAUACUACAGAGCUAGGAGGCAGGAGAGGCAAGCGGUACUCAGUGGGUAGGGGUAAAAUCCUCUGAUCCAUUGAAGACCACCAGUGGCGAAGGCGGCUUGCCAAUACGCGCUCGACGGUGAGGGAUGAAAGCUGGGGGAGCAAACCGG
rnacentral:rRNA from 1 species